rnacentral:rRNA from 1 species
CCUACGGGUGACUGCAGUGAGGAAUAUUGGUCAAUGGGCGCAAGCCUGAACCAGCCAAGUCGCGUGAGGGAUGACGGUCCUAUGGAUUGUAAACCUCUUUUGUCGGGGAGCAAGGCCCGCCACGUGUGGCGGGAAGGAGAGUACCCGACGAAAAAGCAUCGGCUAACACCGUGCCAGCAGCCGCGGUAAUACGGAGGAUGCGAGGGUUAUCCGGAUUUAUUGGGUUAAAGGGGUGCGUAGGCGGAAGGUUAAGGCGGCGGUCAAAUGGCGGUGCUCAACACCGGCCUGCCGUUGAAACUGGUCUUAGUGAGUGAGCGAGAGGUAUGCGGAAUGCGUGGUGUAGCGGUGAAAUGCAUAGAUAUCACGCAGAACUCCGAUUGCGAAGGCAGCAUACCGGCGCUCAACUGACGCUGAGGCACGAAAGCGUGGGGAUCGAACAGGAUUAGAUACCCGGGUAGUC